rnacentral:rRNA from 1 species
UACGAGUGCCCCGAGCGUUAUCCGGAAUCAUUGGGCGUAAAGGGUGUGUAGGUGGCAGUGUUAGUCGGUUGUUAAAACCUGGGGCUUAACCCCAGAUAUGCGAUCGAAACGGCACAGCUAGAGGAUGCGAGGGAUGUAUGGAACUCAUGGAGUAGGGGUGAAAUCCGUUGAUAUCAUGGGGAACACCAAAAGCGAAGGCAGUACAUUGGCGCAUUCCUGACACUGAAACACGAAAGCGUGGGUAGCGAAUGGG